AAGUCGUAACAAGGUUUCCGUAGGUGAACCUGCGGAAGGAUCAUUAUUGAAUUCCAAACUUGGGUGAGGUUGUUGCUGGCCCCUUGGGGUAUGUGCACAUCUUGCUCAUUCAUUCCUUAUACCUCUGUGCACCUUUCAUAGGAUGGCUUGCAGCUGCUGGCCUUUGUGCCAAUGGUUCUGCAGCUGUUCUGUGUUUUUACAAACCUUUGAAUCAGUUUUGAAUGUUUAUUGUGCAUAUGCACAUUUAAAUUAAUACAACUUUCAGCAACGGAUCUCUUGGCUCUC
rnacentral:misc_RNA from 1 species